rnacentral:misc_RNA from 1 species
ACGGUGGAGUCGGUCAGUUCUGGACCCAUCGACGACCCUUUGCGUGCACGCACGCUCCCAACGAGACCUCAGGUCAGGCGGGGCUACCCGCUGAGUUUAA